CAGGCCCAGGGAGAGGACAGGAGGGAACCUCAGCCGGCCGGCGCCUCUAUUGGACCGAACUCUAAGCCUCUAGUUUGGUGCUUCUUGCGCUGAUGCCUGCCGGCUCUCGCAGGGGACGGUCUGAGUCCCGGAGGUGCUGCAGAGUGAGGUCCCCCCACCCGAGGAGGACGCCCACAGCCCUGCCUCCACCAUCCACGCCCCCUCUCCUGUGCAAGACUCAGGCCGCCACGCGGAAGGCAAGCAACAAAAUCGAUGAGGAAACUGAGGCGGAAAGCAGACACCGUACUUGUGAGUGACUAGACCCAGGCAGUGUGACCCCAAGCUCUGUGCUCUUAACACCCUGCUGUCUCUCGGUGACAGGAAAUGGCUUAUCGAAGACCUCAUGGCAACUUCAUGGCUAUUUCCUUCACAGUACAGAGUUACGGAGCAGGGGCAGUAUUUGGAGUAAAGCUGUAACAGAAGACAGAAAAAUAAAUCUGCAAGAAUGAUUAAGUGAUUCCCAGAAUGAGUCUCCACAAUUACAGAUUAUCCCAGCUGGAAAGACUCUGGAGUCACAGACUCGACAUCCCAUUUCACAGAAGGGUAACUAAGCUCCUAAGUGGGCCCCAAGUCCUCGAAUAAAUGACGGGACCAAGCUUAAAACCCAGGUCUCCAGCCUAGUCGGAGGCUCUAAUCAACCCCGCCGCCUUGGGCUUCAGUUCCUCCUUCCAGAGAAUCCGGCAUCCCUCCCUGUGUCAGGGAGUGGGGGGGACAAAGGUCUGCAGAAGGCCCUUCUGACUGAGCUCUGA